CUCUAAGAGGAGGUGUAAGACUUUGCCUGAAGUAAUCUAUGAGGAGAUUGACCACAGAAUCACCAAUGAAAGAACUCCCAUCUCAGCUCAAAAGGAAUAUAUCAACUCAGAAGCUCAGCAUUCUGGUUAUGAAGAUGUUGGUAAAGAGCUUCUCUCAGCAAAAUAUGUCAAUGAAGAAAAGACUGAGUAUUAUGAUGAUGCUGUUACCAGUAGUGGUCUGACAAGUGACACAGAGACAAAAAAGACACGGGAGAAUUAUGAUGACAUCAGACCUGCGCAGGCUCCUGAUAGUGCAGCAACUCUUAUUCCAGAGGACUAUGAUGAUGUCAUCUCCCCUGGACAGGACUCAGGAGGUGGUACAGCAAAAUAUGUCAAUGAAGAAAAGACUGAGUAUUAUGAUGAUGCUGUUACCAGUAGUGGCCUGACAA